rnacentral:tRNA from 1 species
UCCUGCUGGCUCAGAUGGUAAAGAACCUGCCUGCAGUGCAGGAGACCCAGGUUCAAUCCCUGGGUCGGGAA